rnacentral:lncRNA from 1 species
UGUCCUGCCAGCUUAGCAACUCCAACUCAAAGAGCACCACUUUUUCAAUGAUUUUAGCCAAAAUUCCAAGACUUGUCUCAGACCAACCUGAAUCAUGUGCCUGCUCUUGAACAAAGCACAGUAGCCAGGGAAAAAUUGUGCUUUGAUUAUCUAGGACUGGAUCCUGGACCUGCCCCUGGGACUUGCGGAAGGGGACAGCUCAAUCUGAGCCAUAUCAACUGAGAACACAGGAAGCAUGGUCCUACCAAGAGAUGUCUAUUCCAGGUAUGGUGGAGCCUCAGAGGACAGCAUGACUCUCGUUCAGCUGGUGGAUCAGGGAAUGGUCCAAUAAGCCACAGCUGUGGAUAUGAAGGUCUUGUGAAAUCAGUGACCUCUGGGUCAUGUAGAAACCCAGCACAUUCCCACAGGACACAGCCUAGCAGUUGAUCAGAGCAGUAGUUCAUACCUGAGACCCUGGAUUUUCAGACCCUCCCCCAGGCCCCACCAGCCUCUGUCAGUGCCAAGCUGGACGGAACAAACCACAUGAGGACUCAUUCAGCCCCAGCUCAGAGGACUGUUUCAUGGGUACUGGUGGCAGGAAUUCUUGGUUGUCUUCAAUGUCUGGCUCCCUGAUUUUCGGUAGGGAACAUGGUCAGC